GACGAACGCUGGCGGCGUGCUUAACACAUGCAAGUCGAACGGAAAGGCCCUGCAUUUGUGGGGUGCUCGAGUGGCGAACGGGUGUGUAUCACGUGAGUAACCUGCCCUUUGCUUUGGGAUAACUUCAGGAAACUGGGACUCAUACCCGAUAUGAGCUCCUGCUGCAUGGUGGGUGUUUGAAAGUUUCGGCGGUUGGGGAUGGACUCGCGGCUUAUCAGCUUGUUGGUGGGGUAGUGGGUUACCAAGGCUUUGACGGGUAGCCGGCCUGAGAGGGUGACCGGCCACAUUGGGACUGAGGUACGGCCCAGACUCAUACGGGAGGCAGCAGUGGGGGAUAUUGCGCAAUGGGCGGAAGCCGGAUGCAGCAACGCCGCGUGCGGGAUGACGGCCUUCGGGUUGUAAACCGCUUUCGCCUGUGACGAAGCGUGAGUGACGGUAAUGGGUAAAGAAGCACCGGCUAACUACGUG
rnacentral:rRNA from 1 species